CGCACCAUCGCACCUCGGCGGGGCAACGCACCAGCGCGGCAGAAACAGGAAGCGACCCCACCCCGAGUCGAGUUCCGAGAAUCUUCCGCCGCCCCCAGCAUCUCGGCCACCGGGCAGGGACCGAGGGCUGAGGGUUUGCCCCCUCGAACACACGCGGUGCUUGCCUGCAUCUUUUGUAGAAAAUAAACUCAGUCUGUCUUCUGCCACCAACCGAUGCGCAUUCCUUUCACGGACGGGGCC
rnacentral:lncRNA from 1 species